AGAGUUUGAUCAUGGCUCAGGACGAACGCUGGCGGUGUGCCUAAUGCAUGCAAGUCGAGCGGGCUACGAUCUUCGGAUUGUAGCUUAGCGGCGAACGGGUGAGUUACACGUAGGUAAUCUACCCUUCAGAGGAGGACAACCUCAGGAAACUGAGGCUAAACCUUCAUACGUUCACUGGUAGGGAUACUGGUGAAGAAAGAGUUACCUUAGUGGUAGCUGCUGAAGGAUGAGCCUGCGGCCCAUCAGGUAGUUGGUGAGGUAACGGCUCACCAAGCCGAAGACGGGUAACCGGUCUGAGAGGAUGUCCGGUCACACUGGGACUGAGACACGGCCCAGACUCCUACGGGAGGCAGCAGCAGGGAAUCUUGGGCAAUGGGCGAAAGCCUGACCCAGCGACGCCGCGUGGAGGAAGAAGUCCUUCGGGGCGUAAACUCCUGGACUGGGGGACGAGGAAGGACGGUACCCCAGUAGAAAGGGACGGCUAACUACGUGCCAGCAGCCGCGGUAAAACGUAGGUCCCGAGCGUUGUUCGGAUUCACUGGGUGUAAAGGGCGCGUAGGUGGUUGUCUGUGUCUCAUGUGAAAACUCAGGGCUCAACUCUGAGAUUGCGUGGGAAACUAGGCAGCUAGAGGACGGUAGAGGGGAGUGGAAUUCCCGGUGUAGCGGUAAAAUGCGUAGAUAUCGGGAGGAACACCGGUGGCGAAGGCGGCUCUCUGGGCCGAUCCUGACGCUGAGGCGCGAAAGCUAGGGGAGCGAACCGGAUUAGAUACCCGGGUAGUCCUAGCCGUAAACGAUGGGUGCUAGGUGUUGGGGGGUAAAGACCCUUCAGUGCCGAAGCCAACGCGAUAAGCAUCCCACCUGGGGAGUACGGCCGCAAGGUUGAAACUCAAAUGAAUUGACGG
rnacentral:rRNA from 1 species